GCCCCGGUAGCUCAAUUGGUAGAGCGACUGCCUCGUAAGCAGUAGGCCGUGAGUUCAACACAACCCUUUUUGAAGAUUUGAAAUUCAUGAUUAUCAAAAAGCAUUGACGGAAAUAAUAUUACAACCCUUUUUGAAGAUUUGAAAUUCAUGACUAUCAAAAAGCAUUGACGGAAAUAAUAUUACAACCCUUUUUGAAGAUUUGAAAUUCAUAUUGAAAUCGGGUGUGAAAAUCUCAUCCGGGGCU
rnacentral:tRNA from 1 species